rnacentral:rRNA from 1 species
ACCCAGACUCCUACGGGAGGCAGCAGUGGGGGAUAUUGCACAAUGGGGGGAACCCUGAUGCAGCGACGCCGCGUGGGUGAAGAGGUAUUUCGGUAUGUAAAGCCCUCUCGGCAGGGAAGAAAUUGGACGGUACCUGACUAAGAAGCCCUGGCUAACUACGUGCCAGCAGCCGCGGUAAUACGUAGGGGGCAAGCGUUAUCCGGAUUUACUGGGUGUAAAGGGAGCGUAGACGGCUGUGCAAGCCAGAUGUGAAAGCCCGGGGCUCAACCCCGGGACUGCAUUUGGAACUGCGUGGCUUGAGUGUCGGAGAGGCAGGCGGAAUUCCUAGUGUAGCGGUGAAAUGCGUAGAUAUUAGGAGGAACACCAGUGGCGAAGGCGGCCUGCUGGACGAUGACUGACGUUGAGGCUCGAAAGCGUGGGGAGCAAACAGGAUUAGAUACCCCAGUA